GGCCCGUUGGUCAAGCGGUUAAGACACCGCCCUUUCACGGCGGUAACACGGGUUCGAAUCCCGUACGGGUCACCU
rnacentral:tRNA from 1 species